rnacentral:rRNA from 1 species
AACGAACGCUGGCGGCGUGGAUAAGACAUGCAAGUCGUGCGGAAACUUUGUGGUAGCAAUAUCGUAAAGUUUUAGCGGCGGAAGGGUGCGUAACGCGUGGGCAAUUUGCCCAGAAGCCCGGAAUAACCCCGAGAAAUCGGGGCUAAUGCCGGAUGUGAUUUUCGAGCGGCAUCGCUCGUAUCUCAAAGUCGGGGACCGCAAGGCCUGACACUUCUGGAUAAGCCCGCGACCUAUCAGCUAGUUGGUGAGGUAACGGCUCACCAAGGCUAAGACGGGUAGCUGGUCUGAGAGGACGACCAGCCACACUGGAACUGAGACACGGUCCAGACACCUACGGGUGGCAGCAGUCGAGAAUUUUUCACAAUGGGGGAAACCCUGAUGGAGCGACGCCGCGUGGGGGAUGAAUGGCUUCGGCCCGUAAACCCCUGUCAUUCGCGAGCAAAAGCUUCGGCCUAAUACGUCGAAGCCUGAUAGUAGCGGAAGAGGAAGGGACGGGCUAACUCUGUGCCAGCAGCCGCGGUAA